GUCCUACGGGGCGCAGCAGUGGGGAAUAUUGCACAAUGGGCGAAAGCCUGAUGCAGCAACGCCGCGUGAACGAAGAAGGCUCUUGGGUCGUAAAGUUCUGUUCUGAGGGAAGAAGAAAGUGACGGUACCUCAGGAGAAAGCCCCGGCUAACUACGUGCCAGCAGCCGCGGUAAUACGUAGGGGGCAAGCGUUAUCCGGAAUUAUUGGGCGUAAAGAGUACGUAGGUGGUUUUGUAAGCGCGGGGUGAAAGGCAGUGGCUUAACCAUUGUAAGCCUUGCGAACUGCAAGACUUGAGUGCAGGAGAG
rnacentral:rRNA from 1 species